rnacentral:miRNA from 1 species
GCUGACACAUCCCGGCCAAUGUCCAGCAGACCCUCCCUCCCAGUCCCUCCCACCUCCUGGACAGCAUCCAUGUUGAAGCUGUCUUCAACAUGGAUGCUAUCCAGGAAGUAGGAGGGUCUGGGAGGGAGGGUCUGCUGGAGAUUGGCCUGGAUGUGUCAG